UUGCUAACUUUUCCAAUGCCCAAAAAAAUAAACAUGACAUCUGAAAUCUAAGAAAAUACUCAAAGUGGAUAACUUUUCUUCGGCAAAAAAAAUAUAUAAAUUACGUCAAAGUCGACUACAAUAGCUCAAUAGCACCAUUUUACCAACGUCGACAACUUUUUAUUUGAUCAAUUUCCAGUCGUUUUACGGAUAGUACAUACCAGUAGAUGAUAUUUAUCUUCCACAUGGGUGCCCGUAAUGGGGAGAAGCAGCUUUGCGUGUCUGGACAAGUUUCACCGUGCUAGCGGCAUGUCCAUACUCGUCAUGAUGCCAAUGGUUUCCUCUGCACCGCAAUAAAAAAACCAGAACCCAACAAUUUCACAAGUGAAAAUGGAAAAAGUAGCGAAAUCAAAGAACCCAAUAGUGAACUGAACGCCGGAAGGCAGGAAUUACAAAAGGCGAACAUUACCGAAAACAAUACACUUGUCAAUUAAUAAGGUCAAACACUUUUCAAUAUUUAAUUCCAAAAUUUCUAGAUAGAAAGAUAAGAAAUUUACUGGCAACAGAAGAACUCCCAAAUGUUAACUCAAUAUCUAACAUUAAAUGGGAAACCCAUCGGAAGGAGAACUGAAUCUUGAAAAUUUAAUGAUCUUUACUACCAAAAUUUUAUGAGACGAAUGCUAUAGGAGAGUCUUG
rnacentral:lncRNA from 1 species